rnacentral:rRNA from 1 species
UACGAAGGGGGCUAGCGUUGCUCGGAAUCACUGGGCGUAAAGCGCACGUAGGCGGCUUCUUAAGUCAGGGGUGAAAUCCUGGAGCUCAACUCCAGAACUGCCUUUGAUACUGAGGAGCUUGAGUCCGGGAGAGGUGAGUGGAACUGCGAGUGUAGAGGUGCAAUUCGUAGAUAUUCGCAAGAACACCAGUGGCGAAGGCGGCUCACUGGCCCGGUACUGACGCUGAGGUGCGAAAGCGUGGGGAGCAAACAGG